rnacentral:rRNA from 1 species
GGCGGACGGGUGAGUAAUGUCUGGGAAACUGCCUGAUGGAGGGGGAUAACUACUGGAAACGGUAGCUAAUACCGCAUAACGUCGCAAGACCAAAGAGGGGGACCUUCGGGCCUCUUGCCAUCGGAUGUGCCCAGAUGGGAUUAGCUAGUAGGUGGGGUAACGGCUCACCUAGGCGACGAUCCCUAGCUGGUCUGAGAGGAUGACCAGCCACACUGGAACUGAGACACGGUCCAGACUCCUACGGGAGGCAGCAUG